rnacentral:tRNA from 1 species
GCCCCUGUCGUCUAGCGGCAAGGAUCUCGGGUUCUCAGUCCGAAGGCACGGGUUCGAUUCCCGUCAGGGGUA